GCAUAUCAAUAAGCGGAGGAAAAGAAACCAACCGGGAUUGCCCUAGCUAACGGCGAGUGAAGCGGCAAGAGCUCAAAUUUGAAAGCUGGCUCCUUCGGGGUCCGCAUUGUAAUUUGCAGAGGAUGCUUCGGGAGCGGUCCCCAUCUAAGUGCCCUGGAACGGGCCGUCAUAGAGGGUGAGAAUCCCGUAUGGGAUGGGGUGCCCGCGCCCGUGUGAAGCUCCUUCGACGAGUCGAGUUGUUUGGGAAUGCAGCUCUAAUUGGGUGGUAAAUUUCAUCUAAAGCUAAAUAUUGGCCGGAGACCGAUAGCGCACAAGUAGAGUGAUCGAAAGAUGAAAAGCACUUUGAAAAGAGAGUUAAACAGCACGUGAAAUUGUUGAAAGGGAAGCGCUUGCGAUCAGACUCGCUCGCGGGGUUCAGCCGGCCUUCGGGCCGGUGUACUUCCCCGCGAGCGGGCCAGCGUCGGUUUGGGCGGCCGGUCAAAGGCCCCUGGAAUGUAACGCCUCUCGGGGCGUCUUAUAGCCAGGGGUGCCAUGCGGCCUGCCCGGACCGAGGAACGCGCUUCGGCUCGGACGCUGGCAUAAUGGUCGUAAGCGACCCGUCUUGAAACACGGACCAAGGAGUCUAACAUCUACGCGAGUGUUCGGGUGUCAAACCCGUGCGCGCAGUGAAAGCGAACGGAGGUGGGAACCCCUCGGGGUGCACCAUCGACCGAUCCUGAUGUCUUCGGAUGGAUUUGAGUAAGAGCGUAGCUGUUGGGACCCGAAAGAUGGUGAACUAUGCCUGAAUAGGGCGAAGCCAGAGGAAACUCUGGUGGAGGCUCGCAGCGGUUCUGACGUGCAAAUCGAUCGUCAAAUUUGGGUAUAGGGGCGAAAGACUAAUCGAACCAUCUAGUAGCUGGUUCCUGCCGA
rnacentral:rRNA from 1 species